GACGAACGCUGGCGGCGUGCUUAACACAUGCAAGUCGAACGGUAAGGCCCUUCGGGGUACACGAGUGGCGAACGGGUGAGUAACACGCGGGUGAUCUGCCCUGCACUUCGGGAUAAGCCUGGGAAACUGGGUCUAAUACCGGAUAGGACCACUGCCUGCAUGGGUGGUGGUGGAAAGCUUUUGCGGUGUGGGAUGGGCCCGCGGCCUGUCAGCUUGUUGGUGGGGUGAUGGCCUACCAAGGCGACGACGGGUAGCCGGCCUGAGAGGGUGACCGGCCACACUGGGACUGAGAUACGGCCCAGACUCCUACGGGAGGCAGCAGUGGGGAAUAUUGCACAAUGGGCGCAAGCCUGAUGCAGCGACGCCGCGUGAGGGAUGACGGCCUUCGGGUUGUGAACCUCUUUCAGCACCGACGAAGCGCAAGUGACGGUAGGUGCAGAAGAAGGACCGGCCAACUACGUGCCAGCCGCCGCAGUAA
rnacentral:rRNA from 1 species